rnacentral:siRNA from 1 species
UGACUUGGUCAUUUUGGGCACGUC